rnacentral:rRNA from 1 species
GACGAACGCUGGCGGCGUGCUUAACACAUGCAAGUCGAACGGAAAGGCCCUGCUUUUGUGGGGUGCUCGAGUGGCGAACGGGUGAGUAACACGUGAGUAACCUGCCCUUGACUUUGGGAUAACUUCAGGAGACUGGGGCUAAUACCGGAUAGGAGCUCCUGCUGCAUGGUGGGGGUUGGAAAGUUUCGGCGGUUGGGGAUGGACUCGCGGCUUAUCAGCUUGUUGGUGGGGUAGUGGCUUACCAAGGCUUUGACGGGUAGCCGGCCUGAGAGGGUGACCGGCCACAUUGGGACUGAGAUACGGCCCAGACUCCUACGGGAGGCAGCAGUGGGGAAUAUUGCACAAUGGGCGGAAGCCUGAUGCAGCAACGCCGCGUGCGGGAUGACGGCCUUCGGGUGGUAAACCGCUUUCGCCUGUGACGAAGCGUGAGUGACGGUAAUGGGUAAAGAAGCACCGGCUAACUACGU